UUAAGAUUAACAAUUAGGCUUCUAACCUAAAAUUAAUGAUUUAUUCAUUUAGUCUUU
rnacentral:tRNA from 1 species